CCUACGGGAGGCUGCAGUGAGGAAUAUUGGUCAAUGGGCGUAAGCCUGAACCAGCCAAGUCGCGUGAGGGAUGAAGGUUCUAUGGAUCGUAAACCUCUUUUAUAAGGGAAUAAAGUGCGGGACGUGUCCCGUUUUGUAUGUACCUUGUGAAUAAGGAUCGGCUAACUCCGGGCCAGCAGCCGCGGUAAUACGGAGGAUCCGAUCGUUAUCCGGCUUUAUUGGGUUUAAAGGGUGCGUAGGCGGCCUUUUAAGUCAGCGGGGAAAGUUUGUGGCUCAACCAUAGAAUUGCCGUUGAAACUGGGAGGCUUGAGUAUGUUUGAGGCAGGCGGAAUGCGUGGUGUAGCGGUGAAAUGCUUAGAUAUCACGCAGAACCCCGAUUGCGAAGGCAGCCUGCCAAGCCAUGACUGACGCUGAGGCACGAAAGCGUGGGGAUCAAACAGGAUUAGAUACCCUUGUAGUC
rnacentral:rRNA from 1 species